rnacentral:tRNA from 1 species
CGGGGCGUAGUAUACCGGUAGUACGCUUGCUUUGGGAGCAAGUAGACUGGGUCCGAUUCCCAGCGCCCCGA